UUAAAAAAUCUAAUUUCGUUUUUAUUUUUUUUACAGGACAUAGAAGAAGAUGAGUGCCUACCAUUGAACAUAUACUAUUCACUACACUUCAUAUCAAAAGGUACUUAAGGUAAGUAAACUUUUAUAGGGGGGGAUAGUGAAUUGAAAAAAAUCUAAUCUCAUUUUCAUUUCUUUUUACAGGACAUAGAUGAUGAGCCCCUCCACUCAGACAUUAACUACUCUUCGGAUCAACAGUUAAAGGUUAGUAAAUUUUACCUUUUUAGGGUGGUAAAGGUAAAUUGAAAAAAAUCUAAUCUCGUAUUUAUUUUUUUUACAGAACAUAGAAGAUGAUGCCUACCAUCGAACACAGACUACUCUUCGGAUCAACAAUUUAAGGACAUAGAAGAUAAUGAGCAACUCUACACAGGCAUUGACUUGACACGUCAAUAGAAGUUAAGGACAUAGAAGAUGAUGAGCGACUCUAACCAGACAUUGACUUCAUACGUAGAUAGAAAUUAAGGACAUAGAAGAUGAUGAGCAACUCUACCCAGACAUUGACUUCACACAUUGAUAUAACUUAAGG